rnacentral:rRNA from 1 species
GACGAACGCUGGCGGCGUGCCUAACACAUGCAAGUCGAGCGGAGUCGAUCGACGGAAGCCUUCGGGCGGAAGAUGGUUGACUUAGCGGCGGAUGGGUGAGUAACGCGUGGGCAACCUGCCUCGAAGACCGGGAUAACAGCCCGAAAGGGCUGCUAAUACCGGAUGUGGUCAAGGAUCCGCAUGGAUUUUUGAUUAAAGGGGAAACCCGUUUCGAGAUGGGCCCGCGUCCUAUCAGCUAGUUGGUGAGGUAAAAGCUCACCAAGGCGACGACGGGUAGCCGGCCUGAGAGGGUGACCGGCCACACUGGAACUGAGACACGGUCCAGACUCCUACGGGGGGCAGCAGUGGGGAAUCUUCCACAAUGGGCGAAAGCCUGAUGGAGCGACGCCGCGUGAGCGAAGAAGGCCUUCGGGUUGUAAAGCUCUGUCUGGGAGGGACGAAGGAAGUGACGGUACCUCCGGGAGGAACGCCACGGCUAACUACGUGCCAGCAGCCGACGGUAAAAUAGCGUACU